CAUACAUAAAUGUAAUUCAAAUUUUAAUAUUUAAUUAAAUAGAAGAGUGAAAUGACUAUUUGAUUAAUUUAUGUACUUAUUCUAGGCAGCAUCAAGCAAUAGAGAUCAAAUAUCUGGAAGAAAUUAUAGAUAUGAACAAUCACAGGAUUAUGUAUAUAUAUGGCAAAAUAUAUGCAGAGUUAAAUAUGACUAAUGAACACGUGUUCGCAUAAGUUAGAAAUUGUUUGUCAUGUUUGAGAUGUGUAAUGCUAUGGAAAUAGCAUAGUGAUGUACCAGUUUUCCAGGGAAAUAUAAUCG
rnacentral:lncRNA from 1 species